GUGCCAGCAGCCGCGGUAAUACGUAGGGUGCGAGCGUUAAUCGGAAUUACUGGGCGUAAAGCGUGCGCAGGCGGUUUUGUAAGCCAGAUGUGAAAUCCCCGGGCUCAACCUGGGAAUGGCAUUUGGGACUGCAAGGCUGGAGUGUGGCAGAGGAGACUGGAAUUCCCGGUGUAGCAGUGAAAUGCGUAGAUAUCGGGAGGAAUACCGAUGGCGAAGGCAGGUCUCUGGGCUGACACUGACGCUCAUGCACGAAAGCGUGGGGAGCAAACAGGAUUAGAAACCCGGGUAGUCC
rnacentral:rRNA from 1 species